AACGAACGCUGGCGGCGCGCCUAAUACAUGCAAGUCGAGCGAGAAGACGUAGCAAUACGUUUGUAAAGCGGCGAACGGGUGAGGAAUACAUGGGUAACCUACCCUCGAGUGGGGAAUAACUAGCCGAAAGGUUAGCUAAUACCGCGUACGCUCCUUGGACUUCGGUUCAGGGAGGAAAGCGAUACCGUGGGUAUCGCGCUCUUGGAUGGGCUCAUGUCCUAUCAGCUUGUUGGUGAGGUAACGGCUCACCAAGGCUUCGACGGGUAGCUGGUCUGAGAGGACGAUCAGCUACACUGGCACUGCGACACGGGCCAGACUCCUACGGGAGGCAGCAGUAAGGAAUAUUGCGCAAUGGGCGAAAGCCUGACGCAGCGACGCCGC
rnacentral:rRNA from 1 species